GCGGGAUUAGUUUAAUGGUAGAACAUCAGUUUUCCAAACUGAUAGCACCGGUCCGAUUCCGGUAUCCCGCACCA
rnacentral:tRNA from 2 species